rnacentral:rRNA from 1 species
UGGGGAAUUUUGGACAAUGGGCGAAAGCCUGAUCCAGCAAUGCCGCGUGUGUGAAGAAGGCCUUCGGGUUGUAAAGCACUUUUGUCCGGAAAGAAAUCCUUGGCUCUAAUACAGUCGGGGGAUGACGGUACCGGAAGAAUAAGCACCGGCUAACUACGUGCCAGCAGCCGCGGUAAUACGUAGGGUGCAAGCGUUAAUCGGAAUUACUGGGCGUAAAGCGUGCGCAGGCGGUUUGCUAAGACCGAUGUGAAAUCCCCGGGCUCAACCUGGGAACUGCAUUGGUGACUGGCAGGCUAGAGUAUGGCAGAGGGGGGUAGAAUUCCACGUGUAGCAGUGAAAUGCGUAGAGAUGUGGAGGAAUACCGAUGGCGAAGGCAGCCCCCUGGGCCAAAUACUGACGCUCAUGCACGAAAGCGUGGGGGAGCAAACAGGAUUAGAUACCCUGGUAGUCCACGCCCUAAACGAUGUCAACUAGGUUGUUGGGGAUUCAUUUCCUUAGUAACGUAGCUAACGCGUGAAGUUGACCGCCUGGGGAGUACGGUCGCAAGAUUAAAACUUAAAUGAAUUGACGGGGUCAUAGCU